GACGAACGCUGGCGGCGCGCCUAACACAUGCAAGUCGAACGGAGAUUACAGGCGGAAGUUUUCGGAUGGAAGCUUGUAAACUUAGUGGCGGACGGGUGAGUAACACGUGAGCAACCUGCCUAUCAGAGGGGGAUAACGAUUGGAAACGAUCGCUAAUACCGCAUGACAUAGCGGAACCGCAUGGUUCUGUUAUCAAAGAUUUUAUCGCUGAUAGAUGGGCUCGCGUCCGAUUAGAUAGUUGGUGGGGUAACGGCCUACCAAGUCGACGAUCGGUAGCCGGACUGAGAGGUCGAACGGCCACAUUGGGACUGAGACACGGCCCAGACUCCUACGGGAGGCAGCAGUGGGGGAUAUUGCACAAUGGGGGAAACCCUGAUGCAGCGACGCCGCGUGAGGGAAGACGGUCCUCUGGAUUGUAAACCUCUGUCUUCGGGGACGAAACGAGACGGUACCCGAGGAGGAAGCCACGGCUAACUACGUGCCAGCAGCCGCGGUAACAC
rnacentral:rRNA from 1 species